rnacentral:rRNA from 1 species
GACGAACGCUGGCGGCGUGCCUAAUACAUGCAAGUAGAACGCAGUUGCGAACGGGUGAGUAACGCGUAGGUAACUGCCUCAUAGCGGGGGAUAACUAUUGGAAACGAUAGCUAAUACCGCAUACUGUGAGAUGGACCUUCGUUGUAUUAGCUUGUUGGUGAGGUAAAGGCUCACCAAGGCGACGAUACAUAGCCGACAUGAGAGGGUGAACGGCCAAAAUGGGACUGAGACACGGCCCAGACUCCGACGGGAGGCAGCAGUAGGGAAUCUGCGGCAAGGGACGGAAGUCUGAACGAGAAACGCGGCGUGAGUGAAGAAGGUUUUCGGAGCGUAAAGCUCUGUUGUUAGAGAAGCGGUAAAUAAAGAGAAAGGGACGGCUAACUACGUGCCAGCAGCCGCGGUAAUUG